AAAUCAAAAUCCAACCCCAGCAAUAGUAAUGGGGUGGAUUCUAGAAGAAGGGAGGAUUCUACCUCCUGGC
rfam:Rattus norvegicus strain BN; Sprague-Dawley chromosome X CRA_213000034415897, whole genome shotgun sequence.